CAUGAUGUUAUGGUCAGCAUUCUGGACUUUAAAUCCAGCGAUCCGAAAGUUUACAUUUUUCUG
rfam:Crassostrea gigas strain 05x7-T-G4-1.051#20 contig8931, whole genome shotgun sequence.